UCCUUAAGCAAAAAGAAUGAGGCACAACAUAGGAGCAACAAGCCAUUCCAAAACCAACUUUGACUACAUAAGCUUCCCAAGUAAUCAUCACUGCCAGACAAAUUGAAAAUACCACUGCUCAUCAGCUAUGAAGGAGAAGGUGACCAUAUAAGUCACCUCGACAAAUACAUAUCAUGGAUGCUGGAUUGGAUCAUUGGUUAAAGCAAAAUUUUGUAACGUACUAGGGUAUCCCAUUAGUAGGCUCGCCCUUGACGACAAAGCUCAAAGGUGGUUCAAGAAAUUAUCGCAGAGGUUGGUAAGAAGUUGGAAUGAUGUGGCCACCGUCUUCCUAGCACAAUUUACACGUCAAAGGCUUGAACUAAGUCGAAAGAAUUUCUGGUUAGUAUCAAGCAAUGAUGAAGUAAGUCCUUGAAGAGUUACUCAACCAGCAAAUUAUGGAGGUCGAGAAUAUCUUCGAUGAUGCAGCUUUGAUGGCUAUCAUAUCAGGGCUUAGGUCUAGGAUGAGAUCCUUAC
rnacentral:lncRNA from 1 species